rnacentral:rRNA from 1 species
GAUGAACGCUGGCGGCGUGCCUAAUACAUGCAAGUCGAGCGAACAGACGAGGAGCUUGCUCCUCUGACGUUAGCGGCGGACGGGUGAGUAACACGUGGAUAACCUACCUAUAAGACUGGGAUAACUUCGGGAAACCGGAGCUAAUACCGGAUAAUAUAUUGAACCGCAUGGUUCAAUAGUGAAAGACGGUUUUGCUGUCACUUAUAGAUGGAUCCGCGCCGCAUUAGCUAGUUGGUAAGGUAACGGCUUACCAAGGCAACGUUGCGUAGCCGACCUGAGAGGGUGAUCGCCCACCCUGGAACUGAGACACGGUCCAGACUCCUACGGGAGGCAGCAGUAGGGAAUCUUCCGCAAUGGGCGAAAGCUUGCCGGAGCAACGCCGCGUGAGUGAUGAAGGUCUUCGGAUCGUAAAACUCUGUUAUUAGGGAAGAACAAAUGUGUAAGUAACUAUGCACGUCUUGACGGUACCUAAUCAGAAAGCCACGGCUAACUACGUG